CUAGCUGUAAACGAUGGAUACUAGGCGUUGAGAGUAUCGACCCUCUCAGUGUCGUAGCUAACGCGUUAAGUAUCCCGCCUGGGGAGUACGCGCGCAAGCGUGAAACUCAAAGGAAUUGACGGGGGCCCGCACAAGCGGUGGAGUACGUGGUUUAAUUCGAUGCAACGCGAAGAACCUUACCAGGGCUUGACAUGUCCGGAACCCUGCCCAAAGGCGGGGGUGCCUACGGGAACCGGAACACAGGUGGUGC
rnacentral:rRNA from 1 species